CAGCCCCCAAAGAAGUCCACCCUUGUCCUGUUGGUGGCCGAGCUCAGCCCUUGCGGAGGCGAGGAUGCAAAGGGCUGCCUUCGUAGAGUCCUGAAGCCCUUACCGCCCCGCAACGUGCUGAAGUGAACCAGGUGAAGGAUCCUCCAGCUGCACGCGCCAGCCUGUCAGAGCUGGCUAUUCCAACAUGUGCGGGAGCUGGAGGAAGAGGCCGCCAGCAGGACCCAAGUGGGUCUUCAGGGGGAACCAGUGGAGGUGGA